rnacentral:lncRNA from 1 species
CUUUUGCAGCCAGAGUGGAAACGGAAGAUGGCUUUCAGCAACCACACAAACAGCAGUUCAGCUGUGCCGGAGUUACUCCACAUGCUUGUGGAACAAAAGAAGACCCCACGCUUCAAUAAUUACAGCAACCCGGCCUUGGAGAUGCAAGAGGAGAUAAUGGCCUCUUUUUACAUCCUCAUCAUCGUUGGCUUUUUCGGCUUUCUGCUGUUUGUCAUGAUGCUCAGCAACAUCGUUUCCAGCAAGCCUGAAAAUUACAUUGACUAUCUCUAUUCUGGGAAGAUUAACCCUCAGAGAAGCAAGGUGGAGCUUCCAGGAACAGAGAGCAAAGACACUUUUGUUAUCAUUAACAGCACUGCCUUACUGGAGCUACAAAGGCAGGAUGGUAAAUACAACACUGGGCCUGAGGCAACAAGUGCAGAUGCAGUUCUGAGGAAUGUAUAAAAAUGGUUUCUUUUUUAUUAUUAUUGUUCUGUUGUGCAUAAGGAGCUCAAACAGCAAUAACUUUUUUUUCAUUCAUGAAAGCAAGAAAGGAGGAGCUGUGCCAGGAAAGAAGCAGACUGGUCUCAUGCAAGCUUCCCACAUGAAUGAUGUGAAGGUAACAAGUGCAACGUGCAACCUGUGUUAUUUCAGCCCUAGGCCUUUGGAGAAGAGGCUGGGAAUCACGUCCUUACUGGUCUAUCUCCUUCAGGGCUGCGUGUAUCAUGCAUUUUUAUAACCUGCCUCUCGGGAGAAUGGAAGCUCUUCCUUUUCAUGCUGUUGCUUCAAGCAGGGCCAGUACGCUUCCAGCUAGGGCAUCGUUGUGGUGCCUGUUUGCUGUUAUUAAUUUUUAUUUGUUUAUUUAUGUGGUGGAGGGGUUGGAGCUACACGUGAGCCCACUGGGUGUGUGCUCUGCAAGCAGGAGGAGCAGCAGCUGCCUCCUCAUCCACACUCCUCACCAUGCUGGGCACCAGAGGUGGUGACAGGCUGACCCAUGGAGGACCCGUGAGACUUGUACUUGUGUGCUCGCUUGGCAGGCUUGGUCUGCAGCGGGUUUUGGACAGUGGUCAUGCAUUUCUCAGCAGCUCUCUUCCUGCACGUUGGACUUGUACAAAAGCUCAGGAUGACAAUGAGGUGGUCCCAGACAUCCUGAUGUCUCUCCAGGGUCCAUCACAGGGCCUACCUGGCCAUCAUCAGGGCCUUCCUGGCCUCAGCAAACACAAGAAGGAGUGGUUUACCCACCACACAGCUCAGGGUUGUUCAUCCCAUGUCCUGCAGAGCCCUGGCACACAGGGGUUCAGGACAGUAGCUAUGGGGAGACAAACAGCAGUGAGCUUCAGCUUUCUAUUAUCAGUGCAUGCAUUGGAAAAAUCUCUGGAGUCUGGAGGUCAAAACGAUUGGAAACUGCUGGUGCAGGCUGAAGCAAGGGAAGCACCAGGCUAGAGGGUGAACUCCAAAGCCCUGGGAAGUACUAUUUGCCUCCCUGCAAACUCAGGGACAUCUUUGAUUUUGGCAAGUGCUUCUCUUGUUGGUUCCAUUGUGGAUUGAGAGCUAUAAUUACACACCUUUGGAAAUUCUCUUUUGAUACCAGACUUUCGAGUGAGACUUUAGCUAGUGUUCAGGACUUCAUCAGACAGCUAGGAGGAAAAAUGGAUUAUUUAAAUUGGGCAUGGUAUUUGUCAGAAAAAAUAAUCUUAUUUUUCCUCAUUCCACACAAGACUGGAAAAAAAGCCACCACAGAUUUCCUGUAGAAUAAUAUUCUCAAAUAUUGUUUUUUGGGAAAAAAAAUGUACUUACAUUUUAUAUAGAUAAAUAUAAAAUGUUAGAUUAACUUAAUUUAAGCUGCUGUACUUAAUACAGCACAUCAGCAGAAACAUCCACUGUUUGCCUAACAUCAUGCCUACUGUCUAUGUGUAUUUCAUUAUGUUCCAUAUUUCAUUAUGUUUUCAUUUUGUAUUUUAAAAUAAAGGGUUUGUGAUGAUUUUUAGCUUGUGUAAACAUGGUGAGUGUAACCUAAUCACAUAAUUACUACUGAAAUGGGUAAUUGGUAUGUACUGAUAAUUGGUAUCCUAAUUGCCUCAUUAAUAGGGACUUUGUUCAGGGGUAAUUGGUAAAUUUGCCAUUUAGCUAAGUGGUACACUGGAAUUCCAGAAAGCACCAAAAAAGCUUGUUAAGGGGGGGGUCAGGCCUCACCGUCCUUCCUGAGCAUCCCUGGGGAGUGCUCCACAUGGCUCUGAGCCCACCACCCAUGC